UCGGGAAUUCUGGGAAGCGUAGUCUAGGUGGGUUCGGCGGCGGAGCCACUUCCGCCCCAGGUAUGCGAGGCAGAGGCCUGCGCUUCUCGCAGAAAGGUCUCUGCUUUUCCCUAGAAAAAGGAGGAGAAAAUGACCAAAUUCCAGGUUUGAGGCACUGCGGGACAGUGCUCUGCGUCGCCGGUUCGCGACACCAAAGGUGCUGCCUUCCCCUGACCGUUUUGCCGUUAACUUCAGUGACAGUGUUUCUGCCCACCGCAGCAAGAGGUAAGCGGUCUUGUAUCUUUUUAACCAGCUUAUUUCCUUCUCCAUCAUCUGUUUUCUGGAAAUUCGUCUAUUUUAAUUUUAUGUUUUUGGAUUUCUUUCGUUGCCUGUUUUUCAAGCUGUUGGAUUCCUCUGGCAUGCACGGUGGGUUCUGGCAGUCAGCGGGCUGA
rnacentral:lncRNA from 1 species